UAGAGAAAUAAGUAGCUCUUUGGAGGAAUGAUUGGGGGAAUUUUAUAUGCUGUCUUCAAGAAGAGGGAGAAUUCGGCCAUGUUAUCCUCAUCUCAGUAUUUUAAAAAGAGAGAGAAUGGAUUCUCCAGGGUGCAGAAAUGAUGGCAGAAGAUUGGAUUUGAUCAGCCAUCUUUAUCUGAACCUCAAGACCAUCAAUGUUCUUCAUAGCCAUCAUGGAAGUUUGCCAGUCCUAAACAUCAAAACAAUGCUGUCCUUGAGGCUGAGGUAGUAGAUUGAAUAGUUGUGGAGCCAUCUUCUCCCUUUGAGCUAACUAUACAAUCUACU